rnacentral:rRNA from 1 species
GACGAACGCUGGCGGCGUGCUUAACACAUGCAAGUCGAACGGAAAGGCCCUGCUUUUGUGGGGUGCUCGAGUGGCGAACGGGUGAGUAACACGUGAGUAACCUGCCCUUGACUUUGGGAUAACUUCAGGAAACUGGGGCUAAUACCGGAUAGGAGCUCCUGCUGCAUGGUGGGGGUUGGAAAGUUUCGGCGGUUGGGGAUGGACUCGCGGCUUAUCAGCUUGUUGGUGGGGUAGUGGCUUACCAAGGCUUUGACGGGUAGCCGGCCUGAGAGGGUGACCGGCCACAUUGGGCUGGGGAUACGGCCCAGACUCCUACGGGAGGCAGCAGUGGGGAAUAUUGCACAAUGGGCGGAAGCCUGAUGCAGCAACGCCGCGUGCGGGAUGACGGCCUUCGGUUUGUAAACCGCUUUCGCCGGUGACGAAGCGUGAGUGACGGUAAUGGGUAAAGAAGCACCGGCUAACUACGUG